rnacentral:rRNA from 1 species
GACGAACGCUGGCGGCGUGCCUAAUACAUGCAAGUCGAGCGAGCGGAACCAACAGAUUUACUUCGGUAAUGACGUUGGGAAAGCGAGCGGCGGAUGGGUGAGUAACACGUGGGGAACCUGCCCCUAAGUCUGGGAUACCAUUUGGAAACUGGUGCUAAUACCGCAUAAGCGCACAGUGCUGCAUGGCACAGUGUGAAAAACUCCGGUGGUAUGAGAUGGACCCGCGUCUGAUUAGCUAGUUGGUGGGGUAACGGCCUACCAAGGCGACGAUCAGUAGCCGGCCUGAGAGGGUGAACGGCCACAUUGGGACUGAGACACGGCCCAA